rnacentral:misc_RNA from 1 species
CGCACAUUGCGCCCCUCGGUAUUCCGGGGGGCAUGCCUGUUCGAGCGUCAUUACACCCCUCCAGCCUCGCUGGGUUUUGGGCGUCCGCGGAGCACUCCGCGCGCCUCAAUGUCGCCGGCCGGACCGACCGUCUCUAAGCGUUGUGGUAACAGUUCGCUUGCGGGCACGGGAGGGACGUCGCCGUUAAACCUCUCAUCACAGGUUGACCUCGGAUCAGGUAGGGAUACCCGCUGAACUUAA